GAAAUAGACCCAUAAAGUCGUACUAAUAAACAAAAUGUGAUGAUAAAAGUGAAUGUUGUUGACAAAACAAUUUUCAAGAAAUUAAACCUUAUCCCAUUUAUGCAAAUUUGAAUUUCGUUAUGUGUAUGCGUGUAAAAUAUUAAAUACUCACCUGCGUUUCGUUAUGUGCUGAAAGAUAAAAAAUGGGUGAUCGUAAAACAGAAUUAAAAGGUAAAAGCUGGAAGCGAGAACGUGAAGAACGUGGUCGCAGACAAAGCUCUCAGCGUAGCCCUUUAGCAUCCUCAACUGAAAACACUGUUGACAAAAAAAGACCCGAUUCUUUUGAUUUCUCUGGAAAUCCAGAAAAUUCUGCUGAUUCUGAGAAUCACAGUCAUUCGCAAGAUGCAGAUCCACCUCAGAAUGUAGACGAUUCUCAUAUGGAGACGGAUGACCAAAAGGAAAUUGAAGAAGCAGCCAUUGAAGAACAGAAAAAAGAAUUAGCAUCAUAUAUUACAGAAGUUUCUGAAAAAUUGAAACAAAAAGCAGAGCUAAGAAGCCUUAAUGGAAAUGCUGAUGAUUUUAGUUGUCUGAUUGAUCUCAACACAAACAAUCUGGGAAGGGCCGCACUGGCACCCUCAGAUUUUCUAGCUAAAAGACCAGAAGAAUCAUUCUUCAGCAAGCUAGAUUCAAGUUUGAAAAAGAAUACCGCUUUUAUUAAACGUCUGCGUAAUAUGACAGAUGCACAAAAAGACUCACUUAUUAAAGAUAUGGACGCAUUAAAUCUCACAAAAUACAUCAGUGAAGCCGCCUCAGCCAUUGUUGAAGCAAAGUUAAAAAUGUCUGAUGUCAAUACUGCUGUCCAGAUAUGUUCUCAUCUGCAUCAAAGAUAUGCAGAAUUUUCCUCACAGCUUCUGGAGCACUGGCAGAAAGUAUUUCCUAUGAAGAAAGAUGAGAAGAUCUCAAAUCCAAGUAAAAUCCGUGUGGAUCUUCGUUUUUAUGCUGAGCUUGUGUCAUCUGGUAUUUUUGCUUUAAAAGAAGGUUUGCCACUUUUAGGAAAUCUUUUGACUGUUCUGACUGCCUCUGACAGAGAAGAACACAGCAAUGUUAAUAUUUUGCUCAGCUUUUGUCGUCACUGCGGGGAAGACUAUGCUGGUUUAUUGCCUCGCAAAUACAGACUUCUUGGGGAAAAAUUUGGUGUUGAGAUUCCAAAAAGUGACUUUUUGCUUCCUGACCGGCAAAAGGGAUUGCGUAAUUUGCUCAAGGAUUACUACAAAUCUCUCUGUAAACACCUCACCAAAGAUUACAAGACACUCCAAAAUUUGGAGAAAAAUAACUACAAAAUUUUGCAGACGAAAGGAGAGCUGAGUACAGAGAGGAAAGAGAAGUUUGAGGCGACUCAAAACGCUUUCCAGAAACUUCUCACAAACACACAGCAGUUUGCGGACAUCGUAGACGAGGAUAUCCCUCAUCUUCCCAAAGACGACAGUUUGUUCCAAGACAGUGAAACGACCACUUUGGAUGUUUACAACCGAUUUAAGGAUCGUGAUGCUAGUGAUGCGUCUUUCUCUGCUUGGGAAGAUGAUGACACUCGAAGCUUUUAUGAAAAUUUACCUGAUCUCAAAGCUUUCAUUCCUGGUAUUCUAUUCAAAGACAGUUCAUUAAAUGCUCAAUCUCCCAAUGAAAAUGAAAUACAAAAGCUUGAAGAAGAUCUGAGUAAACUGGAGAUUGAUGAGACAGAACUCCUCGAGACAAAAGAAGUAGAAGAAAUGAAAGGAGGUCGAACUGAUGAGAAAGAUCUCACGGAAACUCUCAUGAUGCAAGAAAUAGAAGACACUGAAGAGGAUAACACUCAAGCAAGCACGGCCAACAAAGUUUUGCUCGAUGGAUUCUUGUCUUCAUUAUUAAAUUGUGUUAAUAGAGAAAUCAUAGAUCAGGCUGCUACUGAUUUUUGUAUGAAUUUAAAUACUCGACCGAAUCGGAAGAAACUUGUACGUGCCCUGUUUCUUGUCCCCCGAACAAGGUUGGAUUUAUUGCCGUUUUAUGCACGUUUUGUUGCAAUAUUAAAUCCAUGUAUGCCUGAUGUUGCCACUGACUUGGUUACUAUGCUCAAACAAGAUUUUAAAUUUCAUAUAAAAAAGAAAGAUCAAAUCAACAUUGAAUCUAAAGUGAAAACUGUUCGUUUUAUUGGUGAGCUAGUAAAGUUUAAAGUUUUCCCUAAGUCUGAAGCUUUGUUUUGCUUGAAAUUGCUGCUGCUGGAUUUCAUUCACCAUCACAUUGAGAUGGCAUGCAAUUUGUUGGAAACCUGUGGGCGUUUCCUCUUCCAAGCACCAGAUUCUCAUCAGAGGUUGAAAAUUCUUUUGGAACAAAUGAUGAGAAAAAAGUCUGUGCUAUCUUUAGACAGCAGAUACACCACAAUGAUUGAGAAUGCUUUCUAUUAUUGUAAUCCUCCUGAAGUUGCCCCAAUAGUUAAAGUAGAGCGUCCUCCAAUGCAUGAAUACAUCAGAAAGCUGCUUUAUCAAGAUCUGACUAAAGCUGGAAAUGAUAAAAACUCUGAGAAAUACUCUGCUUCCACCAAAGUUUUACGACAAAUGCGUAAACUCGAUUGGGAUGAUCUGGAGAUGGCUGCUUACAUCACUAAAUGUCUGACCGGUAUUUGGAAUGUGAAGUACUACAAUAUUCGAUGUGUGGCUAAUUUAUUGGCUGGCUUAGUCGCCUAUCAGGAAAAUGUUGGCCCUCAAGUUGUAGAUGGUGUUUUAGAAGAUAUAAGAUUUGGCAUGGAAGUGAAUCAUCCAAAGUACAACCAGAGGCGUGUGAGCAUGGUGCGUUAUCUGGGAGAGCUCUACAAUUAUCGAAUGGUGGAAUCUGCUGUGAUAUUCAAAGUUUUAUAUUCUUUCAUUACAUUUGGGGUGAAUCAAGAUGGUUCUUAUUCAGAAAUGGAUCCACCUGAUCAUCUGUUUCGCAUUCGACUUGUUUGUAUCCUUUUAGAAACUUGUGGUCAAUAUUUCAACAAUGGUUCUAGCAAGAAGAAAUUAGAUUGCUUCCUCAUAUUUUUCCAGCGUUAUUUCUGGAUGAAGAUGUCAGCUGACAUUUACACAGAGGAUUAUCCUUUUCCUGUGAGUAUCAAGUUCAUGGUUGUUGAUCUGAUCACAUCCCUCAGACCUAAACUCAAACAAUUCGAGAGUCUUGAACAAGCAAACCAGGCUGUGGAAAAUUUACUCAAUGAAUUAAAGCCAAAAGUUGCUGAAAUCUGUCCCACAAUUCUGGAUGAAGAGAAGGAAGGAGAUGCUGAGCAGCACCAAGCAUCCAAAGAAGAUAAUCUGUGCCCAAUUGUAGAAGAGGAUGAAGACAUGGACGAGGACAUGCAGAGUGAAUGCAGUGGUCAAGAUGAAUGUGACACAGAUGGUUUCAGUGGAAGUCAGAGUCAACCUCUAGAGGUACAAAUUAAAUGCAUGCAUUCAUUGGAAAAGGAUGAUGAGAAUGAGGUGGACAACAGUCGACCUGUGAUGUCCCAAAGUGAUGGCGAUAUUGAUCCUGCCUCUGAGGGAACGGAAGAUGCACCCCUCGUACGUCCCGUCACAAAGCAGGUACAGACGGCCGAGGACGAUGAUUUCAUGACUGCUUUCGACAGAAUGCUGUCCGAGAGCAUGCUGCAUCGUAAUCAGGAGUCAGUCAAACCACAAGUAGACAUUGUCAUCCCAAUGAAUAUUAAAGGAACCAAUAAAAAAACAGUUACAAUAUUGGAACUGAAAGAUGUUGAAAAGCCUACAAUGAAUUUCGUUUUAAUGACAAGGAAAGGCAAUAAACAACAGUUCAAAAAUUUAUCUGUUCCUGUCUCCUCAGAAUUAGCACAAAAUCUAAAAGACAGGGAAGAGGCUGAGAGAAUGGAAAAACAACAUGUGAAGUUACUCACUCUUAACAUUAAUGAAAGACAAGAAGAGGAAGAUUAUCAAGAAAUGCUCGCUUCGCAACAAAGGCCAUCCGUGAUGAAUCUCAAUCGAGACAGGAGGCAAAAGUAUCACCAUCCAAAAGGGGCACCUGACGCAGAUUUAAUAUUUGGCAACAAGUAACAGAAUUGUAAGGGGUGAUCUGGCACAGAUUUAAAUAAAUAACCAUUGAUUAUUCAACAGAUAAUCCCUACAAAGAAGGAUGCAAGUCUGUGGUGUUAUCCAUGCUCGACCUCCCCUAAGAGCUAGUUGUUGGAUGUGCUUCUACACAACUGCUCUCAAGGCCAAAUCCAGGCAUCUUUGUUUACUGACAAAGUGGUUGCUGUGUGCCAGAUUGUAACCCUUCGCCAAAGAUAUUCUCCUGCCAAAGUUCAGGUGCCAACUUUGGCCCUCAGUACGAUGGACUAAAUAAAAAAAAAAUAGCCAUCACCCUGUGAUUUUAGAGUGUACAGUUUUUUCCUUUUUUUAUUUUAUUGUGAGAUUAAAUACUAUUUGACUAGCAAA